GGCGCUAUAGCCAAGUGGUUACGGCGACAGAUUAGAAUAUCACCGUUGGUCGCAUUUGCCACAAUCUGUUCCUCUUUGAGGGCGCAGGUUCGAAUCCUGCUGGCGUCG
rfam:Moniliophthora roreri strain MCA 2952 kmer90.96925, whole genome shotgun sequence.